CAGCCGCCGCGGGAACACGGAGGGUGCAAGCGUUAAUCGGAAUUACUGGGCGUAAAGGGAGCGUAGGCGGACAUUUAAGUCAGGGGUGAAAUCCCAGAGCUCAACUCUGGAACUGCCUUUGAUACUGGGUGUCUUGAGUGUGAUAGAGGUAUGUGGAACUCCGAGUGUAGAGGUGAAAUUCGUAGAUAUUCGGAAGAACACCAGUGGCGAAGGCGACAUACUGGAUCAUUACUGACGCUGAGGCUCGAAAGCGUGGGGAGCAAACAGGAUUAGAUACCCCCGUAGUCCCUGUCUCUUAUAC
rnacentral:rRNA from 1 species